CCCUUAGAUGUUUUGGGCCGCACGCGCGCUACACUGACAGAGCCAGCGAGUUUAUCACCUUGGCCGGAAGGUCUGGGUAAUCUUGUUAAACUCUGUCGUGCUGGGGAUAGAGCAUUGCAAUUAUUGCUCUUCAACGAGGAAUGCCUAGUAAGCGCAAGUCAUCAGCUUGCGUUGAUUACGUCCCCUGCCCCUUG
rnacentral:rRNA from 1 species